CCUACGGGAGGCAGCAGUGGGGAAUAUUGGACAAUGGGCGAAAGCCUGAUCCAGCAAUGCCGCGUGAGUGAUGAAGGCCUUAGGGUUGUAAAGCUCUUUUACCCGGGAUGAUAAUGACAGUACCGGGAGAAUAAGCUCCGGCUAACUCCGUGCCAGCAGCCGCGGUAAUACGGAGGGAGCUAGCGUUGUUCGGAAUUACUGGGCGUAAAGCGUACGUAGGCGGUUAUUCAAGUCAGAGGUGAAAGCCUGGAGCUCAACUCCAGAACUGCCUUUGAAACUAGGUAGCUAGAAUCUUGGAGAGGUUAGUGGAAUUCCGAGUGUAGAGGUGAAAUUCGUAGAUAUUCGGAAGAACACCAGUGGCGAAGGCGACUAACUGGACAAGUAUUGACGCUGAGGUACGAAAGCGUGGGGAGCAAACAGGAUUAGAUACCCUGGUAGUCCACGCCGUAAACGAUGAUAACUAGCUGUUCGGGCUCUACGAGCUUGAGUGGCGCAGCUAACGCAUUAAGUUAUCCGCCUGGGGAGUCGGUCGCAAGAUUAAAACUCAAAGGAAUUGAACGG
rnacentral:rRNA from 1 species